rnacentral:lncRNA from 1 species
GCCCCGCCCCUCCCCCCGCGGCCCCUCCCCCCUUUUGCACUUUCGUGGCCGCGUUUGCUACUGACGGACCCCCCGCCCCUCCCCCAACGUCCCCAAUGUCCCCUCCGUGUCCCCUCCCCCCUCCCGAGCGCACUUUAGGGGCAAAACCGAACGGAAACGGGCAAAAAAUGGAGCGGGGACAAAACGGGGACCGGGGGGAGGGGACACGGAGGGGACAGCGGGGGUGGCACCAGAAAUGGGGCGGGGACACCCAGGGUGACCCCAAUGGGGGAUGUCCCCAAUGGGGUGGCCUUGGGGGUGUCCCCAAUGAGGUGACCCCAAUGGGGGAUGGCACCACUGGGAUGUCCCCAAUGAGGUGACCUCAGUGGAAGAUGUCCCCAAGGUGAUGGCACCAAUGGGAUGUCCCAAUGGGGUGGCCUUGGGGGUGUCCCCAGUGAGGUGACCCUAAUGGGGGAUGUCCCCAAUAAGGUAACCCUAAUGGGGGAUGUCCCCAAGAUGUCCCCAAGGUGAUGGCUCCAUUGGAUGUCCCCAGUGGGAUGUCCCCAAUGGGGGUGGCCCUGAGGGUGUCCCCAAGGCGGUGACCCCAUGGAUGUCCCCAAGGGGAUGGCCCUGUCCCCACCGGGAUGUCCCCAAUGGGGUGACCUCAUGGAUGUCCCCACUGGGAUGUCCCCAAGGGGGUGGCCCUGUCCCCACCGAGGUCACCCCACAGAUGUCCCUCACGGGAUGUCCCCACUCCCCCUCGUGUCCCCACGGCGUCCGUCCGUCCCCUCGGGGUGUCCCCAUGGUGGUGUCCCCUCGGGGGUGUCCCCACAGGGGAGGGGUCCCGGGGGGUGGCGGGGGGUCCCCGGGGUGUCCCCACGGCGGGGUGGCAGCGGUGACAAAUGUCCACUAUUUAUCUGCAUCAGUGAGUGUUAGAGACGCCAAUAAACACCGUAGAGCUGAGCCGGCUGCGGGGACAUCGGGGACAGUGGGGGACACUUGGGGACAUCGGGGUGAUUGGGGACAUUUGGGGACACUUGGGGACAUCGGGGUGAUUGGGGACAUCGGGGACACUUGGGGGGAUUGGGGGAUUUGGGGGGAUUUGGGGCAUUGGGG